GGGGAUGUUUUGGUUUUGACAGCAUAAGACAUCGGAAGGUAAGCACGUCGAGCGUCGGAAUUUUGCUCGUAAAUCUCAGAUUUCAAGCCAUAACUGGCAACAAUUCUUAUGCACUCGCUGCGUAGUCUGCAAAGCACACUACCUUAAUCCUCGCCGCCAAGGCUGCGGCGACGACGAGUAUCCCGCCGGACUUUAAGCCAUCUCUGACCGGCACCAGGGGUAUCAUUCAAGAUGGAUGCUGGCACGGACUCUUCUAAAGUGCCUUAAGACUCAGAAGAUAAGGUAUUGGUGGCGUGUCUGUCCGCAGCCCCUACCCGACAACCAAUGACAGAAUAAACGUGUAGAAAGCUUUUGGGUGCUAUGUUUGGACGGCGGUUCGAGUCCGCCCAUCUCCACA
rnacentral:tmRNA from 1 species